ACUGGACUACAAAUUGAAGGAAUGUUAACAAACUGACUUACUUUCACAAUCAUUUUAAGUUGGGAAUAAGUCUAAAGAUCGCUGUUCACCUAUAGGAAAGUCUUCCUAAGGAUCUCGAAUUUGUUAUAGACUUUUGUUAUAGAAUUUGUACGAGUCUGAUGGCAUUACAAUGGUUAUCGGAGGAAAACGAUGAACAUUUGAAUGGACUGUGG